UCCCAGUUGGCUCAGACGGUAAAGCGUCUGCCUGCAAUGCAGGAGACCCAGGUUCAAUCCCUGGGUUGGGAU
rnacentral:tRNA from 1 species